AAUUGGGGUACAAAUUCGUUGUGUAGGCCAAGUUAUUGUCGCUCCCGCCUCUCGUCCCGUGGCCUAUAGCCUAUGGAAGCUGGGUUCCGGUCGAAAAAUCGAGGAUUGCUGGAAAUGCUCCGAGACUUUGGAGUCCCUUAACAUUUGUUGGAAUAGAUGUCCAUUCAAAAAUUGGGGUACAAAUUCAUUGUGUAGGCCAAGUUAUUGUGCUUCCCGCCUCUCGUCCCGUGGCCUAUGGCCUAUGGAGCAUUAUGUCCGGUCAAAAAAUAGAGGAUUGUUGGAAAUGCUCCGACACUUUGGAGUCCCUCAACCUUUGUAGGAAUAGACGUCCAUGCAAAAAUUGGAGUACAAAUUCGUUGUG
rnacentral:lncRNA from 1 species